AGAGUUUGAUCCUGGCUCAGGACGAACGCUGGCGGCGCGCCUAACACAUGCAAGUCGAACGAGCGAGAGGAGGUUUACUUUCUCAAGCGAGUGGCGAACGGGUGAGUAACGCGUGAGGAACCUGCCUCAAAGAGGGGGACAACAGUUGGAAACGACUGCUAAUACCGCAUAAGCCCACGACCCGGCAUCGGGUAGAGGGAAAAGGAGCAAUCCGCUUUGAGAUGGCCUCGCGUCCGAUUAGCUAGUUGGUGAGGUAAUGGCCCACCAAGGCGACGAUCGGUAGCCGGACUGAGAGGUUGAACGGCCACAUUGGGACUGAGACACGGCCCAGACUCCUACGGGAGGCAGCAGUGGGGAAUAUUGCACAAUGGGGGAAACCCUGAUGCAGCGACGCCGCGUGGAGGAAGAAGGUCUUCGGAUCGUAAACUCCUGUUGUUGAGGAAGAUAAUGACGGUACUCAACAAGGAAGUGACGGCUAACUACGUGCCAGCAGCCGCGGU
rnacentral:rRNA from 1 species